CACCGACCUCCUUAUUGGUGACAAUAUUGACAUAUCCUAUAUCCUCAAUUCUAUAUCAAUCUAUAUCUGCUUGAUCUAUAAUAUCAACAGAUUCAUCAGUUUUCUAUAUUGACAUUAUUUCUAUCAAGAUGGCAACAGAAAUUAGCUUAUCUAAAUUGAUAAUUACUCUAGAUUCUUCCAAGAAUUGAGAUCUGUGGUACAAGAUAAUACUAGAUCUAGCUAUAGAAAAUGAUGUACUGGAGUUCAUUGAUGAUGAAAGCCCUGAUUGAAUCAAUCAACUAUCUGUUCCAUCUUCUCCAAGUAUUUCAACUGAAUAUACUUCUGAAGCAAAAAUUC
rnacentral:sRNA from 1 species